AAAUUAUAUUGCCACGGCUUGCCACGGCUAGAUCACAGAGUAAAGAUAAAGUCUGUGACUAGACCAAACGCAAAAAAAUGAAGUACAGUAAAUUGUAAUUUUGCUUCGAAGUUGAAAGGACUAUUUAGGAAACAAAAGAAGAGCUUUUGAAGAUCCCGAUAUUUAAGAUAUAGAAAUAUUUUAUGAGUGAGUGUGUAAAACCGUUUUCUAACAUGUUCCUAUUAAUUUAAUAUUAAAUACAGUAUAUGUUUCUAAUAUUUAUAAAACCCAAAUUCAACUCAAACUCAGCCUGAGUGAACUGUCACUGUCACAAGUUCUUAGUGUAGAGUCCUAUUGGCUAUAAUUCUACUAUAUGCAUUGAAUUGUGUUAAUUUAUCACUUUAGAUUAUUUUUCUCUUCUUGCCUUUUCAGAUAUAUAUCACUUUUCAAGGAGUCUUGCAUGCCCACUCCAGAGACUGUGUUAUUAUGUUUAAUGUGAGGAAUGGCUAAAACUCAUCAAUCCAAGCCUGCGCAAUAUAUCCAACCUGACGCAUCUUUGUUGUUGUGAAUCGUGGAAAAGGUGAUGUUGUACUGCUAUGCAACAAACAUUGGACAGAGAAGCUGAAUGGAAACUUUUAAAACAUCCAAAUAAAGGAAUUGUGAUCCUUACUGCAGUAUGUAUUUUGAAGUACUGAGCCCAUGUGUUUUACUAAUAUGAUACUAUUGUUUUUGCCACAGCCUCACUUUGCCCCUACAUAUGAAAUAUUUUAAUAUUUAAGCAAGGCAUGGUGGUUAAAACAAAAGUAUGUAUGGCUUAUAUGGAAGUAUGGAAAAGUGGUCUCGACAUGUCGGUGACAACUACUUUGAAAAAUUACCUUUUUAGUAUCUUUUCAUGUUGGCGUGGAAUUAUCCAAACCGACUAUUAAUAUGUUUGCAAAAUAUUCCUAAUUUAUCCACC
rnacentral:lncRNA from 1 species